GCUCACCGUCACACCUGCGCGGGCCGUGUGGGGUGCAAACACUUUCUUCCUGGCAGGCCCUGCUUAGGUAGGAAUAACCUUGCCUUGCAGCACUGAUGUCUUAGCAGCAAGUUGGCGAUGCUGUCCUCAGGUCCAUCUUCGCCAUUGCGUCCCAGGGCUGGGAGCAGCCCAAGGAUGCCAGGAAGCAAGGGGGCAUUUGGCCAAUGUCCCAAGGGAUCCUUAUGGGACCGGGGAUAUUGUCAACUGCCCAGCGCGGUGUACACUGCCUGUGAACGGGGGCAAAGUGAGUUCCCACUGGCAGUGAUUUCUCUUCUCACUCUUCCAGGCAGGGGGUUGCUAUGGGGACUUCAGCACCUGGAAAUGCAACUGUGGCCUGAGAUCUCCGCUGUGUGCAGAGGGGAAGAUAGAACUCUGUCCUUUCCUGCAGAAUUUCCUCUCUUGGGGGAGGCGCAGUUAUCCCAGAGCCUGCUGGGCAGAUUAUCCUGCAAAGUUCCAGCCAGAAAGGCGCCCCAAGCUCCAGAAACAGAGAACGGGGGACACCCUCAGCCCCCGGUAUUUACCACUUUGCUCUCUGCAGGGCAGGCCUAGCCCUCCCCAGCUCCUCCUGAUUCUGCAUUUUCUGCAGCACUUAACCUUUUUGCUGGUUCUUCAGCCUGGGCAGGACCCUGUCGGGGCUUAACAAACCCAGGGGCCCCAUGCGGUCCCUCACAGAAAGUCCUGGGACUCAGCCUGGCAGUCACGUCUCUCUGCAGGGGGAGCUGCUCUGCCCGCUCCGCUGGCCCCCCGGGUGUGUUCCAGCAAGCCCUCAGUGAUUCCACCAGGGAAGAAAUGAGUCAUCGUAUCUGUCGAUACAGGCUGCAGGCCGCCACAAACACAUACCUGCAGGAGCUUCUAAUCUCGUCAGGAACAUGUUGAGAACCUGCAGACCUGUUAUAACGGCGGACCGCUCCGUGCCAAGCAGCGGGAACUGCUGUGCUUUCUCUCGGCUGCAGCCCAGAGUCUCCUUCAGGGCCAGGGGAAUGGAAAACGGGGUUCUCAGGCUGUGGAUUGUCCUGCCAGAGCAGGUUCCGGGGACCGGGCAGCUGGCAUAACAACCUGCCACAGUUGCUUUAGGGUGGACCUCCGUAAGACCCCUCUGCAAAUCUUGUCCAGCUGUGUUGUGGAAGGAGUAGGACUCGGUGGAACAGGAAUGCAUUCUGGCCAGUCUGAGAAUCGCUAGAAUGUGCCAAGCUCAGAUUCAGAUGCCAGUGACCGAAGAUCUGUGGGUGGUGAGUAACUGUGGCGGGAAGGGUUUGGUGCCUGACUCCAGGCGGGGUUGGGGGGAGGCAGUCUCUGUCCAAGUUCUGUGGAAACCCUACCCCCAGCAGGCAGGGCACCCCUCCCGCACUGCCAGACCUGGACAGCUAUAAAUAGUGGAGAUGCGCCCGUGGGGAGCCAGGCACCAGCAGUGUGGGAGUCCCACCCAGCCUGGAAUCCCACUGGGGCAGGAACAGAGGGAUUACACAGAGCUCCCUGAGCUUUCUGCUGGGCCCCAGAAGAGGCAGUUACCAAGACUUGGCAGGACACAUGACUUCGCUUCUCCAGGCAUCGUUUUUCUCAUCUGCAAAAGAUGAGUGAAAGGCUAAGGGAGCCGCGGUGGCUGACCCUCCGGGUGUCCCUGGCAGAGGAGGGACAAUGAUGACUGCCCUGGCCUCCCUCACAGAGGAGUGUGGGGACAUGGAACACUGGCAGCAUUUCAUAAACAGCGACGUGCCUCACAGACCAGGCAGGGAGUAGGAUUGGUGCAAGUGUCCAUGGGGCAUGAUUAGGCAAAUCCUGCAACACCAGCCCAGGGCCCCCUCCUCGGAGCCCCCCGCAAUCUGUAUGCCUGUGAUAAAAGAUGGAUGGACUAGAACACAGUCAACAGAACAUCUAUUCAAUAGAAGACGGUUUGCACACGUCCUGUAGGUCUCACCAAAUGGUACUUUCCCUCAGGUUAGGGAACACGUCUGCUCAUCUUCACAUCGUUGCACACUCAGCCCAGCCUUGCACAGUGAAGGUGCUCAGCAAACAUUUUUUGGAUUGAAUUGACAGACCUAAGGCCAUCUCCCUCCACUCCUUCCCCAGAUUUGGUGUGAGGCCCUCCCUGGCCCCACACCAAAUCCCAGAGUCCUGACCAUCUGUUUCUGUCCCAGGGUCCACGUCUACAGGACAGGCCUCUUGUCCCCUUCAGCCCAGGCAUGCUCAUGACUCUUCAUUCCUUGGACUUCCCUCCACUCCUCUCCCCCAUACCCUGCCCGGAGGCUACCAGUGGCCCCCAUGCCUGCCCCAGCCAACAUGUCCCCUCCCAGGAGACAAAGAAAGCUGCAUUGUCCUCGUCUUUCUUUCCAGACCUCCUAUCCCAUGCCUGCUCAGCACAAAAAGUGGGGAGCAAUAGUUGAGGCAUGAGUCACCUAUUCCCUGGGUGACAGUUGGCAGCCCCAUCUGGGAGCACGAGCCAGAUUCCGCAGGAGCUGGAAGAGCUGAUGGAGCACUGCUCCAGCCCCAGCAACUCCUCACAAAGCCUCAGCCUCCAGGAAGAUUGUCGCUGCCUCCACCUCCCGCUGGGAGCCAGCGGGAAUCCUGCCCCCAACCCACCUCUGGGGCCCACUUUCAUCUCAGCUGCAUUCUCAGGAUCACAGGGGCAUAGAGGAGACGGCCCCUCUGGGGCCUGGGGAGCUGGAUGCACCACCCAUCCCACAGCGGCCAUGUCUGGCCAGGGCUGCCUUGUGAUGCUGGGAACCCCACCCAGCCUCUCUAGGACCUUCAGACCCGGCAUCUGAAAAUAGUCCUGGGUAGAAAUGCAGAUGUCCACACGUGAAGCAACUACACCGCCUUGGCUCCGAUGGGCUUUGGAGGCCCUGUGCCAUUACUUGGGUGACAAGUGGGCCCUUGGAGAUGACUUUACCUGUGGAAGGGCUUCACACAAAUUGUGGGUCACAGCAUAGGAGCAGAAGCUUGUGGGCCCACGCUGGGCUGUGUCUUGGUCCUAACCCAGCCCUGGAAUUGUUGGGGCCCUAAACACCCGGCCCCACCUCUCCCUGCAGUUUCCCCCACUGGCGCUGGAGACGAGCACAGUCUGCAGAUGCAGGAGGAAAGGGGCUCGAGCUCAUGGGAGGGGCCGCGCCAGCUGGGAUGGUAAUUUCGAGCCGGGGUUGGCAGGAAGGGUGGGGCAAACUUGCAGGGGGCUGUGGGGAGCAGCCUGGCCCCCAGCCCUCAGAUUCGGCGGGCGAUUGGCACUUGUGGGGCGAGAGGCGUACCACGGAGCUCUCAGCCUCCCGCCAACAGGUCCCUGCAGGUCUGGGAAUGUUCUUCCCUCAUUUGAAGGGUGUUUUGCCAAUGACAUACCAAAGUCUUUGAAAAUCCCCUCAGUUGAUUGAAACCGUAGGCUGGAAAUCAACAAAUACUUUAAUUAGUCAGAGAGACUAAAAAAAGGAUACACAGCAAAACCCUCUGUGCUUUGCCUUCCAUGAGGGUGAUUUCAUUUUUUUGAUAAACACUUGUACAGGACUUUCUGUGUGGCAGACACUGCCCUAUGGACUUUGCAUCCGUGAAUCAAAAAUCGUGAAUACCAAAGAAGAGCUUUUACCAUUUUCUUGGCAUUUGCUUUGUUCUUACACACAGGUGUGAGCGUGCCUGGUACUCCGGCAAUUUCAGCCUUUCUGUACAAUGGAGAGGCCAGGAUGCGAUUCAUUGAUACCGGACUUCUAUCCUUACGAGGUCAGAGUCAUGCAAGGAAGCUUUUUUACCUUCUUAACCUGCCCCAUGUUCCUUUCCUCCCUGCUCCUUUCUGUUCCUACUCCAGUAUCCACAACGAGGGCUGGGCACAUGGAGGAGAGACUGGAGCUGCUCUCUCGGAGUUUCUGCUUGGGCCACUGCUUCCUCAUCCUGGCAAGGUAGGGCCAGGCAGGGGGGACAGAGUCCUGCUUCCAUCCUGCUUUCCCCUCGGCUUUGGGUGAGCUCUAAUGACUUGGGAGUGAAUCAGUACAGACCGAGAUGAUAUGAUAGGGAAGAAAGGAGACGACAGCACCGAGGCUGGAAAUGUCACCUCUCCCAGGACCAGCCUCAGGAAACACACUCGGGGUCUGGACAGUGCUGGAGGCGAAUGGACACCUGCCCGGCCCGGCCACAUCUUCUGCACGUGCUCACGGCUCCUGUCUUCACAUCCCACAGGCACGUAGACCACCGGCCUUGCUCACGGUCCACUGAGACCAGUAGUCACUGUCGAGGCCUCGUGAAAACUUGUUAGCUUUUUCCAAGAGAGACACAGCCUCAAAGGCACCCGAGAAGAGAGAGCACAGAAACACUUGCACUGAUCAUUUAGUCAUUUCUUCAUUCAACAUGCGUGUUUUGAGCAACUGCGGGGUGCUGUGCACUGAGCCGCCACAGUGGGGGCACAGCGGUGAACAGGACAGGCCCAUGGGAGAGACACAGGGUCUGAGGACAGGGCCAGGUCUCUUCCCCGACCUCCUUGCCAGGGCCAGCACAGUAAGCCACGCCACUUGCCUCGUGACGGGGUGGCCCCGCAAAGGCUGGGUUGGGGAAUUCAGCCUGACUUGGUUUCAGAUAACUCCGUUCCCACAAGCCAUCCAGGGUGAGCCCCGGCCAGACUUUCCUAUGGGAAUCUUCUGGCUUUGACUCCUCCCCACCCCCUCCCAGCCAUGCCCAGAUGUCCCUCGGCGAUUCACUAGGAGAGGAGGAGGCUGGGUUCAGAGAGGUGAAGCCCUAACCCCAAAUCCCUCAGCAAGAUGGGGUUAGAGCCAGGACCAGGUCUGCCCUGUUCUGCACGCCAUCCAUUGCCCUGACUGUCUCUCCCGGGUUUCAGCAAGAGCCCAUUGACGUCCCACUCCAAGGCUGCAUGUGUUGGUUGCCUACGCAGGACCCUCUCCCGAGGCCAGGGUGGAAGGAGGCCUGCGUGGAUGGAGGGGCUGACCUCCGGCUGUCACGGGUGAUGUGAUUUUACUGCUUCCCGCCUCUCUCCUGUGUGCAGCCCUGAGAGUUGCUGGCACUGACCCAGGCCUUUCCAGGGUGGAGACAAGCCUCUGAGCCAAAGUCAGCACCAAGGCCCUUUCCCCCAAGGCAUUUGCCUGUGCCAGGCCACCAGGUCCCACCAGGUCCCAUCAGGCUGGGGCGCUGACCACAGAUGGGAGGGUGCAAACCCCUUCCUGUCCUGCCCCUCUCCCCUGCCUGUCCUCCCACUGACGGAUACAAGGAGGGAGGACUCAGACCUGGCUCCGUUGCCUGUGUUCAGAACCCCACCGUGCUCUCGGCUGACUCUAACCAAAUCCAUGUCCUCGGAAACUGUUUCAAGGGGCCCCAUGUCUUUCAUUCCACCUACCAGUGCCUGGGCUCCCAUGGCCGUUCAGCCUCAAUUCCCCUCUUCAGCCGGGUGGAUCCCUUCACACCCCACCCCAGGGCCCACUGUUCCCCAGCUUUCAUGCUUAGAAGGGUAGUUACGCUGAGUACUGGCUCUGUCUCUGUCUCUGUCUUGGCUUCCCUGACACAGAACAUGAGGCAAAGAUCUAGUCUCUUCCAAAUGAGUGAGAUGUCUCUGACGAUCACUGGAUGGGGAGCUUCUCUGAAACUCUGGACUUUCCGUGAUCCCCAAACUCCUUGAAACACAGGGUGGGUCGGUGCCCAGGAUGUGCUUUGUGGCAUGACAGAAGACAAUCAGAGCAGCCAUGCUUACACAGCACUCACUGUGCCCAGGCAUGGUUCCAGACAGCGAGUGUAACUCAUUUACCACUCACGACCUCAUGAGGUGGGCCUGUUAUGAUGCCCAUUUUACAAACAAGAAAACUGAGGCCCAGAGGAGUUAAGUAGCUGCAACUCCCUAUGGCCAAGACACCCACACAGGCCCGGCAGAGCUUCGCUCCAGAUGAGCAGAGGCCACCGACAGGAGGGAAUGAAAUGGGAAGACCCAGCCUGAGUGUCGUUUGCCAUUUUUGACCCUUAAGAAUGAGCCAGGCUACCCAGUGGCCUCAGAGGGAGUAGAUCAACUCCUGCCUGAGGCUGCGCCACUCAGAAAGGAAAUUAACUUCAUUUCAUUCCGACAUGUAGCCUCGUUUCUUUUGGUGACAUUGGACCUCAUUUCCCCCACUCUUUUUUGAAACGAAUGGCUAUUGAAGUGCUUACUGUGUGCCCAACGUGGGGCUAGGACUUAACAUGCAUUGUCUCAUUUAACACUCACAUUAUCCAAGGCAAUAAAGCACU